AGUGGGAUAACUGGGUCAAAUGGUGGUUCUAUUCCCCAUUUUCCAAGGAAUCUCCAUACUGCUUUCCAGAUGGGUUGCACCAAUUUGCAGUCCCACCAGCAAU
rnacentral:pre_miRNA from 1 species